GGCCAGCUCCAAAUUUUAGCAAAAUACUCUCCAUUUCCAAACUACAAGUACACGCUGGCAGACUCACGGAAAAUCAUGCCGUUAGAAUAGCUCAUAGAUUUAGUGAUAGACCCAAAACCAUUCUUCUCCAUCACUCACUCACUCACUCACUCAUCGAUUUCUUUUUGCUCUCUCACCAUCUCUGCCGCCGAUUCUAACUCUGGUGUGAUCCAUUCUCCGACGAUUUCUCUCACCAUCGAUUCUACUUAUAGCUUCUGCUUAUAGAGCAUCAGUUGAUUGAUCGAUUGGAACUAAAGACAAGGAGCAUCCAUUGUGGCCGUCCCCGUUGUCUCUGUUUGUUUUUCAUGAACGGUUCGUUGGAAUGCUAGAGGUCAACCAGUUGGGAAAGAAAGCGAAGGUUUUGUCAGUUAUGUAGGAGUCAUCGUUUGUCGGAUGGUUCCAAUUAGUAUAGAAAAUUGGAGAGCUCCUAAAAUGAAACCUUACAAAGAAAAUGUUUUGGAUGAGAUACGGAAAGAUUACAUAUUUGGCGAUGAGCAUGAGAAUCAUGUAAAAAUGGAAGCUGGAAGGUUGUUUACAACAUUCAAAACCACAUUUACAAGACUUUAUAUGAGAGAUACUAAUCUUGAUGUUGUUGACAAAUCUCCUAAGGAUAAGUAUCCCCCACAUAGAACAAGAGCAUUGGGAUGCCUUUGUAGCUCAGAGUUUGACUCCUGAAUUUUCGAAAAGGAGUAAGGAAAAUUGAGAAAGAGCUUUAAAUCCCAGACAUCCAUAUGGGGUUAGCUCGUCUUGAAGAAAAUAUGGAAAGUAUGUGUAAAAUUGAAAGAAGAGGCGGAAGAAGAAACGAUAUAACGUGCGUCUGUGUGGACCGUUUCCCGUGUUGGUAAGGAUGGAGUGAUUGAUAAUGGGGAAGUUCAGAAAAUUGCGGAUAAAUGUGUAAGUCAAAUGUAGCUACUUUUUUUGGAUUCAUAUCAAAUUAUUUUGUUAAUUA